UAAACGUGCAUUGAGUUAAUAUGAUGCCAUUGAUUCAAUGGAUCUGCUUCAUUUGGGACCAACAAUUUUGAGGCCUGAAUGUUUAUAUAUUAUGGGAUCUCCAUGCUGACAAACUAUUCCAUUUUAAUAUAUUACUUAUUGAAUUUAUAUCCCACCUCUUUCCCAAGAUGGACAGAGAGAGUUUCAACCUGAGGCAAAAGAUAGUCAUUGGGUCUGUGAUGUCACAGUCUUUCUGUCUGCAAUUGGUUAAGUAGAUAUAUGCUGUCAUAAUUGGGCUCAAUGACCAUGGUUUAGAUAGCUGGAUACCAAGAGGUGCAUUAACAAGUAGUGCCUUUGUAAUCUGACUAUUUUUUUCUCAUGUAGAAGUUCAUCUCAGAGGAUGAAAGAAUGCUGAAAAAUGCAAGCUAGAGGGUCCCGUGGCUUCAACGGUGACUGGGCUGACUGGAAGAAAAGGAGCAAAGAGGUUGGAUGACACAACCGGAUUCCAGCCUGAGCAAAACAGUGUGCGGAAGCAGUCCUUUAAGCUGGGACCUACACAAGUGAUGACAACACUCCUAGGCUUGGCAUCAACCCAUUAACUAAGAAGACAUUGUGCUGCAGAAGAUGCCUACCAAAAUACAUAUCUGCUGGGGUAAACUUGUCAACCCAGUGUCUACAAAAAGUGGUGGGAGAACUAUGGUAUGCAAAUCUCUAACAAUCAAGCCCAAAUGACUGAUGUGGCGCCACUUCAACUGGAAUGUGUCUGAAUCCCAUCCGGAACCAGCUUGUAAACCUGUAAAUAAAGCUAAUUCAAAUA